GGCCUAAACCACAUAGCAUAUGCGGCAUGGCAAAGGAGACCUAUGAAAGCAUUAAGCUCCUCGUCAGAGCGCUUUCAUAGGCUGUCUACCGAAAGGUAGGCAGGUGGCCGCAAGGUCAUC
rnacentral:sRNA from 12 species